rnacentral:tRNA from 1 species
GGGCGAUUAGCUCAGCGGUAGAGCGCUUCCCUUACAAGGAAGAAGUCGCUGGUUCGAACCCAGCAUCGCCCA